UGUAUUGUGGCUCAGUGGUAGAGUGCUUGCCUAGCACACAUGAGGCACUGAAUUCUAUCCUCAGCACUGCAU
rnacentral:tRNA from 1 species